rnacentral:rRNA from 1 species
AUUGAACGCUGGCGGCAUGCCUUACACAUGCAAGUCGAACGGCAGCACGGGAGCAAUCCUGGUGGCGAGUGGCGAACGGGUGAGUAAUAUAUCGGAACGUGCCCAGUCGUGGGGGAUAACGUAGCGAAAGCUACGCUAAUACCGCAUACGAUCUAUGGAUGAAAGCGGGGGAUCGCAAGACCUCGCGCGAUUGGAGCGGCCGAUAUCAGAUUAGGUAGUUGGUGAGGUAAGGGCUCACCAAGCCGACGAUCUGUAGCUGGUCUGAGAGGACGACCAGCCACACUGGGACUGAGACACGGCCCAGACUCCUACGGGAGGCAGCAGUGGGGAAUUUUGGACAAUGGGCGCAAGCCUGAUCCAGCAAUGCCGCGUGCAGGAUGAAGGCCUUCGGGUUGUAAACUGCUUUUGUACGGAGCGAAAAGGCUUCCACUAAUACUGGGGGCUCAUGACGGUACCGUAAGAAUAAGCACCGGCUAACUACGUGCCAGCCGCCGCAGUAACAC